rnacentral:lncRNA from 1 species
AACACUCGAACUUUUUCAUUGAGUGCUAAAUCUUUUGUAAUAUCUAAAAAUAUUGUACGCAACGCUAAAAAAAAUCUUCCACAACACAUCAAAAUAUAAUUUGCAACAUAAAAAAAUAUGCUAAAAAAUUAGCUCACUACCAUCUAAUCCGAAGAGAAAACCAACAAAGAAAAUGAAAAGAAAAUUUGAUAUUGCAUGCUGUUCCUGUCUGCUGCACACAUGAAAGCGUGAUGUUUGCAAUAAUAAUUUAUCAUUGCAACAUUUCUUUUUGAAUCGAGGCCUCCCGCCAUUUACAUUGAAAGAACGGAAAUACCUGUCUGGAUAUAUUGUCAGAAGAUUAACAAAAGUGGGGGAAAAGAAGCAAGUUCUCCCUUAGACGUAGGACUCCCUAGCCUGAUUAUUAUUGCAACAUGAAAAGGAUACAAUCUGAACGUCCCAAAUAUGAUGUAUUGCAACAAAAUAAAAAAAAUACUAAGAAAACAUACUUCUAAUGGCACCACAAUCCUGAAACAUGUCAGAUUGACCAUUGCAACACAAAAUCAAACAUUAAAACACCACACAUCUCAGUAACAGAAAUAGAGGAGACGGAAUAGGAUGGGGAUUAUCAGCGAUCUCCAUCAACUAUGCUUGGAAGCACAUGCGGACAGUGCAGAGAGGCUACAGGAGUCCCCGACCGCCCAUUCAUAAGGAAGUGGAGAGGAGGGAUGAAUGGAGGGGAAGCGAAAGGCGAAUGUGAUGAGGGUGGUAAGCUAAUGCGGAGAACCCGCAAGAGUUGUUGAUGAAUAUGGGCUUGAUGGGUUGUGGAACAGAGGGAUGGAGGAGGGAGAGGGGCGGGGUGGCAGCCAACAGGCCAUGGCUAGCUAAGCCAUUCGAACUACACACGCGAUGUACAUUUACCAAUCGGCGAAACAUCGACACAAUGUUUUUUUAAAGGUGAAUGGAAUAGUUUGGACCAAACAUAACUAGUUAUCGGAAUCGUAUUGGUAGUCUUAUGCGACGAGAUAACAAAUAGACAACAUCUACAAUGAUUCAUGUUUUUUUUAUCAUGGUAAUAUUAUAUAUCUUAAUUUAUGGAAGUAAGUAAGAAAAAUGUUAUAAGGUGCAUGACAAUAACAAUUAAUAUAAUAGUGAAGGAGUAGUUUCAAAAUCAUAAAUUUUGGCUUAUGAAUAGUUGCUUUGCGAAACAUCCAUUUCUUUCUCCUACCUUCAUCUCUGUUGUCC